rnacentral:rRNA from 1 species
CCUGUGACAUACCACUUGUUGCCUCGGCGGAUCAGCCCGCUCCCGGUAAAACGGGACGGCCCGCCAGAGGACCCCUAAACUCUGUUUCUAUAUGUAACUUCUGAGUAAAACCAUAAAUAAAUCAAAACUUUCAACAACGGAUCUCUUGGUUCUGGCAUCGAUGAAGAACGCAGCAAAAUGCGAUAAGUAAUGUGAAUUGCAGAAUUCAGUGAAUCAUCGAAUCUUUGAACGCACAUUGCGCCCGCCAGUAUUCUGGCGGGCAUGCCUGUUCGAGCGUCAUUUCAACCCUCAAGCACAGCUUGGUGUUGGGACUCGCGUUAAUUCGCGUUCCUCAAAUUGAUUGGCGGUCACGUCGAGCUUCCAUAGCGUAGUAGUAAAACCCUCGUUACUGGUAAUCGUCGCGGCCACGCCGUUAAACCCCAACUUCUGAAUGUUGACCUCGGAUCAGGUAGGAAUACCCGCUGAACUUAAGCAUAUCAA